CACGGCCUGAACGCGACUUCAGCACUGGUGCAACAACAUAGGUAGGAUCUUUUGGAGAAGCAGCCAUAUAAUAUAAAGAACCAGUAAGAGCUGCUGUCAUUACAGCUGCAAAUGCUUGAGCAAAUGGUACAUAAGGUGGCAAAACACCAGUCAAUGAUGCCAUCCCUCGAGCAUCAGACACCAAAUCAGUGCUCCUUACGAAAAUGUCAGCCAAAGCUCCCUGAACAGCAGCACGGUAGAAAAGUUCCUCUCCAACAGAGCUAGCAGCGACAAUCAGAAUGAACUGCCAAGGUGACAUUCCAUAAAAGAAGUUCCGUAGCUCUUCAUCCUCAACAUCCCUGAUUGCUCGCGCAUGAGGAGAUAGCUUCACAACUUCAUCAUCUAGUAUAAAUAGAAGAGCCAUAAUGGGUGGAACUGCAUAUCCUAGUCCUUCAACAAUGGCAUCUAAUGAUGGACUGAACCCUCCUGUGCAGUCAAUUCCAGAUAUUGAGCAUAUGAACUUUCCGGCUAAAGCCAUUGCUCCAUAGAUGCCGAUUCCAUAACUGAGUCUGACAACAGCACCGAUUUUCUCCCAAACGGGUAACUGCGCAUCACUGAAGCUCUGGUUGAAUGUAGUCACCUCCAUAGUAGACCCCGUGAAUCCUACUCCUCCAUUUUCACCCUCCCGAAUUUCAACUGAUGAAGCCUCGCCGGUACUUGACUUCUCCGCCAUAGCUUUAAUUCUCACUACCGAAAAUUUCUCAUUAUAAUUCCUCUUAUCUCGAUAAUUGUUUCUAAUCGGAAAAUCGCAUAAACUCACUUUACAUCCUAAAAACGACGUCGUCGAUGGAGUAUUCGUACAUCGAGCUAUCAACGGAAAUUCCAUAUUUACAAAACACUCCGGUCUAAACUGACAAGCGAAUCGGAAAAUGAGCAAGCGGCGUCGUUUCAGCUGUUAGAAGUUUGCUUCAGCUGCUUCUCCGGCGUUGAUUCGCGGCAAUAAAGUUGUCGUUUCAGCUGCUUCUCCGGUGUCGUUUCACCGCGAUAAAUUUGUUUCAGUUAACUCACCGGCGUCGUUUCACCAAGACAAACUUGUUUCAGCUACUUCUCCCACGUCGUUUCACGGAGACAAGGUUAUUGUUUCAGCUGCUUCUCCGGCGUCGUAUCACCGUGAGAAAGUUGUUUCAG
rnacentral:misc_RNA from 1 species